CAGCAGCCGCGGUAAUACCAGCUCUUCAAGUGGUCGGGAUUAUUAUUGGGCUUAAAGUGUUCGUAGCCUGUUUAGAAAGUUCCUGGUUAAAUCGGAUAGCUUAACUAUCUGUCUGCUAGGAAUACUACUAUACUAGGGGGCGGGAGAGGUCUGAGGUACUCCAGGGGUAGCGGUGAAAUGCUAUAAUCCUUGGGGGACCACCAGUGGCGAAGGCGUCAGACUGGAACGCGCCCGACGGUGAGGGACGAAAGCCAGGGGAGCGAACCGGAUUAGAUACCCGGGUAGUCCUGGCUGUAAACGAUGCGUGCUAGGUGUUGGUAUAGCUAUGAGCCGUAUCAGUGCCGUAGGAAAACCGAUAAGCGCGCCGCCUGGGGAGUACGGUCGCAAGGCUGAAACUUAAAGGAAUUGGCGGGCGAGCACCACAAGGGGUGAAGCCUGCGGUUCAAUUGGACUCAACGCCGGAAAUCUUACCGGGGGCGCCAGCAGGAUGAAGGUCAGGCUGACGACCUUACCAGACAGGCUAAGAGGUGGUGCAUGGCCGUCGCCAGUUCGUGCCGUGAGGUAUCCUGUUAAGUCAGGCAACGAACGAGACCCGCACCUUUAGUUGCCAGCAAGAGGCUUAGGCCUCGUUGGGAACGCUAAAGGAACUGCCAUCAUAUAGAUGGAGGAAGGAGCGAGCCACGGCAGGUCAGUAUGCCCCGAAUCCCCCGGGCCACACGCGGGCUGCAAUGGUAUGGACAAUGGGAUGCAACUCCGAAAGGAGAAGCUAAUCUCGAAACCAUAUCUCAGUUGGGAUUGUUGGCUGCAACUCGCCGACAUGAACGUGGAAUCCCUAGUAAUCGUGUGUCAUCAUCGCACGGUGAAUACGUCUCUGCUCGUUGCACACACCGCCCGUCGCUCCAUCCGAGUAUACUUCAAAUGAGAUUUGGUCCUCUGGGUCAUAUCGAAUUUGUAUUACGCGAGGAGGGAGAAGUCGUAACAAGGUAACCGUA
rnacentral:rRNA from 1 species